rnacentral:ncRNA from 1 species
CAAAAGCUUGGUCCUGACUUUGCUAACAGCCCUAGUCAAAAUUACACAUGCAAGUAUCCGCACCCCCGUGAGAAUGCCCUACAAUCCCCGCCCGGGAACUAGGAGCUGGUAUCAGGCACACCUCGUCAGUAGCCCACAACGCCUUGCUUAGCCACACCCCCAAGGGAACUCAGCAGUGAUAAACUUUAAGCAAUAAGUGAAAACUUGACUUAGCCAUGACUAAAAGGGCCGGUAAAACUCGUGCCAGCCACCGCGGUUAUACGAGAAGCCCAAGUUGUCAGCCUUCGGCGUAAAGAGUGGUUAGAAUAGCCCGUUUAAACUGAGGUCGAACACCUUCAAAGCAGUCAUACGCUCUCGAAGGCAUGAAGCACACUUACGAAAGUAACCUCACCAGAUUUGAACCCACGAAAGCUAAGACACAAACUGGGAUUAGAUACCCCACUAUGCCUAGCCCUAAACAACGACAUUAAUUACACUCAAACUCCGCCCGGGUACUACGAGCAUUAGCUUAAAACCCAAAGGACUUGGCGGUGCUUUAAAACCAUCUAGAGGAGCCUGUUCUAGAACCGAUAACCCCCGUUAAACCUCACCCCUCCUUGCCAACCCCGCUUAUAUACCACCGUCGUCAGCCUACCCUGUGAAGGGCUAAUAGUAGGCAAAAUUAGCACAGCUUAAAACGUCAGGUCAAGGUGUAGCGUAUGGGGGGGGAAGAAAUGGGCUACAUUCUCUGUCCAGAGAAUAACGAAUAAUGUGCUGAAAUGCAUGUUUAAAGGAGGAUUUAGCAGUAAGCAAGAAACAGAGAGUCUCGCUGAAACCGGCCAUAAAGCGCGCACACACCGCCCGUCACUCUCCCCAAAGUAUAAUUAACAAAUAACUAAUAAAUAACCCAUACGAAGGGGAGGCAAGUCGUAACAUGGUAAGUGUACCGGAAGGUGCGCUUGGAAAACC